rnacentral:rRNA from 1 species
UGGGGAAUAUUGCACAAUGGGGGAAACCCUGAUGCAGCGACGCCGCGUGAACGAAGAAGGUAUUCGUAUCGUAAAGUUCUGUCCUAUGGGAAGAUAAUGACAGUACCAUAGAAGAAAGCUCCGGCUAAAUACGUGCCAGCAGCCGCGGUAAUACGUAUGGAGCGAGCGUUGUCCGGAAUUAUUGGGCGUAAAGGGUACGCAGGCGGUUUAAUAAGUCGAAUGUUAAAGAUCGGGGCUCAACCCCGUAAAGCAUUGGAAACUGAUAAACUUGAGUAGUGGAGAGGAGAGUGGAAUUCCUAGUGUAGUGGUGAAAUACGUAGAUAUUAGGAGGAAUACCAGUAGCGAAGGCGACUGUCUGGACACAAACGGACGCUGAGGUACGAAAGCGUGGGGAGCAAACAAG